rnacentral:rRNA from 1 species
UCGAGAAUCUUCCACAAUGGGCGAAAGCCUGAUGGAGCGACGCCGCGUGACUGAUGAAGUCUUUCGGGAUGUAAAGGUCUUUUAUGAGGGAUGACAUAGCGACAGUACCUCAUGAAUAAGGGGCUGCUAAUCACGUGCCAGCAGCAGCGGUAAUACGUGAGCCCCAAGCGUUAUCCGGAAUUACUGGGCGUAAAGAGUGCGUAGGUGGUUGUAUUAGUCUUCUGUUCAAUCCUUCGGCUCAACCGAAGAA